UAACCGGUGUCUUUUGACACCACCACAACAAUGGGUUCAGGGUUGU
rfam:Gonium pectorale scaffold00083, whole genome shotgun sequence.